AAAUUUUCCAUUACUUGAGCUUGUAAAACUCCAUGAAUAAAAACAAAUGAAGGAAACCCAUUUGAGGGAGGAAAUUAAGGGUGAGUUUGCAAAGCCUCAAUGGGUUCUCCAAGAUUGCUGUUUCUCUUUUCUUAUGUUGUUCUACAACUAGUUUCCCCAACCAUUUCUCAGCCUGAUUUUAUGCACCAGUUCUGUUACAACGACAGAGGUAACUACACAGAAAACAGCACCUAUCAGAGAAACGUCGACAGCGUCCUUUCUUCCCUUGCCUCCAACACUGAAAUUGACUACGGAUUUUACAAUCUUUCCAUUGGCCAAGCCCCCAACCAAGUAAAUGCUAUUGCACUUUGUAGAGGAGAUGUUGGGUUGGAUGACUGCAGAGGUUGCAUCAGUAACUCUACUCGCAAAAUCUUACAGGUUUGUCCUAACCAGAAGGAUGCAGUUGGAGUGUAUGAUUUCUGUACACUGCGAUACUCCAACAGAUCAAUAUUUGGUGCGUUAGAAGGAAUACCCACUUUCUAUGUAUGGAACUUGAACAACGCCUCGGAUGUGAACCAGUACACUCAAGCACUGCAAACUUUGUUGGGUAGACUUCGAAGCACGACUGCAUCAGGGGAUUCGAUUCGAAAGUUCGAGACAGGAGAAGAAAGUGCAGGAUUUGAAAGGGUAUUUGCACUUACCCAAUGCACUCCUGACUUAUCUACUCAGCAGUGCGAUGAGUGCUUGGCUGGGGCUAUUCAGGAAAUUCCAAAUUGUUGUGCGGGGAGGAUAGGAGCCAGCAUUAUAAAACCCAGCUGUGAAGUCAGGUUUGACAACAGGCUCUUUUAUGUACUUGCAUCCAACGCCCCACCUCCAUCACCGCCAAUAUCUCCUCCUCCUCCACUUAUAAAAGGAAAGAAGAGCAACAAAGCACGAACGAUCAUUAUAAUAGUAGUUCCAAUUGUUAGCGUUGCGAUAUUAGUCAUCUGCUUUUGUGUUUUCUUGAGGAUGCGAAAGCCAAAGGAAAAAGUUGAAACCGUAGAUGAAAUAGAAAGUGCAGAUUCUUUGCAAUUAGAUUUUGGAACUGUUAGAGUUGCAACAAAUAACUUUUCAGAGGAAAAUAAGCUUGGACAAGGUGGAUUUGGUGCUGUUUACAAGGGUACACUAUAUAAUGGACAAAAAAUAGCUGUCAAAAGGCUUUCUAAGGAUUCAGGACAAGGAGAUCUAGAAUUUAAAAAUGAAGUCUUAUUGGUGGCCAAACUUCAACAUCGAAAUUUAGUUAGGCUUCUUGGUUUUUGCUUGGAAGGCUAUGAAAGGCUUCUUAUCUAUGAGUUUGUGCCUAACACUAGCCUUGAUCAUUUCAUAUUUGAUGAAAUCAGGGGUGCCCAAUUAAAUUGGGAAAUGCGUUAUAAAAUCAUAAAUGGUAUUGCUCGAGGGAUUUUUUACCUUCAUGAAGAUUCUCGCCUUAAGGUCAUUCAUCGCGAUUUGAAAGCAAGUAAUGUCUUGUUAGAUGAAGAGAUGAACCCUAAAAUUUCAGAUUUU
rnacentral:misc_RNA from 1 species